ACUCAAAUGAAUUGACGGGGGCCCGCACAAGCGGCGGAGCAUGUGGAUUAAUUCGAUGCAACGCGAAGAACCUUACCUGGGCUUGACAUGUACGGGACCGCCGCAGAGAUGUGGCUUCCCUUGUGGCUCGUAUACAGGUGGUGCAUGGUUGUCGUCAGCUCGUGUCGUGAGAUGUUGGGUUAAGUCCCGCAACGAGCGCAACCCUUGUCUUAUGUUGCCAGCACGUAAUGGUGGGGACUCGUGAGAAACUGCCGGGGUCAACUCGGAGGAAGGUGGGGAUGACGUCAAAUCAUCAUGCCCCUUAUGUCCAGGGCUUCACACAUGCUACAAUGGUCGGUACAGUGGGUUGCGAUACCGUGAGGUGGAGCUAAUCCCUUAAAGCCGGUCUCAGUUCGGAUCGGGGUCUGCAACUCGACCCCGUGAAGUCGGAGUCGCUAGUAAUCGCAGAUCAGCAACGCUGCGGUGAAUACGUUCCCGGGCCUUGCACACACCGCCCGU
rnacentral:rRNA from 1 species